UAGCAACAUAACACCAACCCUCAGACGAAGCAUUUUUUCAGCCUCUAAGAAGCCAGCUUGAAGAACUAGAUGUGAAACUGAAUUUGACAAAGACCAAAAAUCUGGAUAUCCACCUAGAGAAAAGUUGGCAUUUUGAUACCACACACAUUUUAAGGUUUGAUGGACGGUCACUGCAAAACAGCCAUACACAGAGCAUGCUCUAAAUCAACAACAGAAAGCAGCCAUCCAGCCCGUGCUUAGCAGUCUCCUGGGACUUCACCAUAGACAGUGAUACCAUGAUUACAGAGCCCUGCUCGUUACACUGGUAGUAAAACUUGGAGCUGAAAGAAUCCUACUGAAAAUCUUUUGUGCCUCUGGCGUGGUGCUAAGAUGAAGACAAUAAAACAAUGAUUUGAAAAUA